rnacentral:tRNA from 1 species
GUGGGUGUAGCUCAGUUGGUUAGAGCGUCGGAUUGUGGUUCCGAAUGUCGAGGGUUCGAGCCCCUUCAUCCACC